rnacentral:lncRNA from 1 species
UUGAAGUAUAAAUGUUGCAUAACUUAAUAUCUGAAUGUCUUCCAGACACUCAGUGAUGUACUUGAGAAAGAAAAAUAUGUUAAAAGAAAGGUGGAAAAAACAAAGCAUAAGUUGCAAAGAAAGGGAAGGAAAAGUCGUGGUUUGCUAAUAAAAACUGAGAGUAAACGCUCAAUAAUUUUUGAAGAAUUGGAGUCUACUAAAAUUAAAACAGUAACUUAUAAUGCAAAAAUAAAUGAAAUGAAUCAGCAAUUAGAAGGAAAGGAAGAGGAAAAGGUAGCUUUUGAUCAGAAACUUGAAAAUUUGACAGAUGUAUUUAUAACUAUGAGAUAUAAAAAAGAACAUGCACAAGCUGUGUUUGAUCAUCUCGUGGAAGAGAAAAGAGCCUGUGAAGAGAGAAUCUUUCAAGAAGAUCAGGAAUUUCGAACACUUCUUGCUAAGAGGCGAAAAGCCCUGGCAGAUAUCAAAGAAUUGCUAGACAACUUGUUGGAGGAAAAUCUACGUUUAGCUCAAGAGUACCAGAAGAUGCAGACUAUUUUCUUAAUAGAAAAGGAUAAUUUCUUCAAUGCAUAUGCUAAACAGCUAUCACUUGAUGCUUCAGUUAGAGAUCAGAAACAGCUCUGUCAGCUGCAAAGAAGUCUACACAAGCAGUGGCAGGAGCACUUCCGACUGGUGGUCCUCUUCAGCCAGAUGAAGCUGGCCAGGUUCCAGACAGACUCUCAGGAGACUAUUCAGAAAAUAUUAGCUGUGCAGUUUUUUGAAUUUAAAAGAAGUGGUUAUAUGAGGAGC